AAUGAACGCUGGCGGCAUGCCUAACACAUGCAAGUCGAACGAAGGCUUCGGCCUUAGUGGCGCACGGGUGCGUAACGCGUGGGAAUCUGCCCUUGGGUUCGGAAUAACAGCGAGAAAUUGCUGCUAAUACCGGAUGAUGUCGAAAGACCAACGAUUUAUCGCCCUGGGAUGAGCCCGCGUUGGAUUAGCUAGUUGGUGGGGUAAAGGCCUACCAAGGCGACGAUCCAUAGCUGGUCUGAGAGGAUGAUCAGCCACACUGGGACUGAGACACGGCCCAGACUCCUACGGGAGGCAGCAGUGGGGAAUAUUGGACAAUGGGCGAAAGCCUGAUCCAGCAAUGCCGCGUGAGUGAUGAAGGCCUUAGGGUUGUAAAGCUCUUUUACCCGGGAUGAUAAUGACAGUACCGGGAGAAUAAGCUCCGGCUAACUCCGUGCCAGCCGCCGCGGUAA
rnacentral:rRNA from 1 species